CUUCCAAACCAACAUGUGUGAAACAUAAUGGAGUCUCACUCUGUUACCCAGACUGGAGUGCAGUGGCAUGAUCUCGGCUCUACAACCUCCGCCUCCCAGGUUCAGAUUAUUUGGAAAUUUCCAGCUUUGUGCACUAGACAGAAGACCUUUGACCUCUGGGAUGACAGCAUAAAGGCGAGGGUAGAUUUCUAAAGAAAAGGAUCUGUGAACAUUUAGGAAAGCAAGCAGUGGUCACCAGGAAUUUGUGUGGAUUGCUGAUAAAGAAGUCAUUCUGCACUAACUUCAUCUCUUCUUUGGCAUUAUGGCUCAUCUGAUAAAUAAAUGCAAUAGACAUAUCUUUGGAUUUCA
rnacentral:lncRNA from 1 species